rnacentral:tRNA from 4 species
GCCCAGGUGGUGGAAUUGGUAGACACGCUAUCUUGAGGGGGUAGUGGGCCACGCCCGUGGGAGUUCGAGUCUCCCCCUGGGCACCA